GUCUAUGGCCAGACCACCCUGAACGCGCCCGAUCUCGUCUUAUCUCUGGAAGCUAAGUAGGGUCAGGCCUGGUUAGUACUUAACUGGGAGACCGCCUGGAAAUACUGGGUACUGUAGGCU
rnacentral:rRNA from 1 species